CUUGUCAUCUUUAUAUCUCCACCUGUGCACCUUUUGUAGACCUGGAUCUCUCUCUGAAUGCUAGCAUUUAGGAUUGAGGAUUUGACUUCAUGUCUUUCCUUCCAUUUCCAGGCCUAUGUUUCUUCAUAUACCCCAAUGUAUGUCGUAGAAUGUAAUCAAUGGCCUUUGUGCCUAUAAACCUAUACAACUUUCAGCAACGGAUCUCUUGGCUCUCGCAUCGAUGAAGAACGCAGCGAAAUGCGAUAAGUAAUGUGAAUUGCAGAAUUCAGUGAAUCAUCGAAUCUUUGAACGCACCUUGCGCUCCUUGGUAUUCCGAGGAGCAUGCCUGUUUGAGUGUCAUUAAUAUAUCAACCUCUUCAGUUUUUUGCUUGUUGAGUGUUGGAUGUGGGGGUCAUUUUUUGCUGGUCUUCUCAGAUCAGCUCCCCUGAAAUUCAUUAGCGGAACAAUCUGUGGACCGUUCAUUGGUGUGAUAACUAUCUACGCUAUUGACGUGAAGCAGUUUCAGCUUCUAACAGUCCAUUGACUUGGACAAAAAUUUUUAUUAAUGUGACCUCAAAUCAGG
rnacentral:rRNA from 1 species